GGCUUUUGACAAGGUCUUGCCGGUUCACUUACUUGUCAAAAGCGAGAUCGAAGAGAACCAGCUAAACGUGUAGAGUCUACUGGUCGCAACCUUUGGAUGCGGGUUCGAUUCCCGCCGCCUCCACCA
rnacentral:tmRNA from 1 species